rnacentral:misc_RNA from 1 species
UCAAACUUGGUCAUUUAGAGGAAGUAAAAGUCGUAACAAGGUUUCCGUAGGUGAACCUGCGGAAGGAUCAUCAGUGAUGUGUGUGGGGGGGGCUGCCUCCACACCAAUCUUGUGUGAACUGUUGUUCUGUAGUGUGUGAUGUGUUUACAGCACUCCCACAAACAACCAUCUCUCAACCUUGUCUAAACACAGUACCCACAAUCUAAAACACAACUUUUAACAAUGGAUCUCUUGGCUCUCGCAUCGAUGAAGAACGCAGC